rnacentral:rRNA from 1 species
AUGAGCGCUGGCGGCGUGCCUCAUACAUGCAAGUCGAGCGAACGGACGAGAAGCUUGCUUCUCUGAUGUUAGCGGCGGACGGGUGAGUAACACGUGGAUAACCUACCUAUAAGACUGGGAUAACUUCGGGAAACCGGAGCUAAUACCGGAUGAUAUUUUGAACCGCAUGGUUCAAAAGUGAAAGACGGUCUUGCCGUCACUUAUAGAUGGAUCCGCGCUGCAUUAGCUAGUUGGUAAGGUAACGGCUUACCAAGGCAACGAUGCAUAGCCGACCUGAGAGGGUGAUCGGCCACACUGGAACUGAGACACGGUCCAGACUCCUACGGGAGGCAGCAGUAGGGAAUCUUCCGCAAUGGGCGAAAGCCUGACGGAGCAACGCCGCGUGAGUGAUGAAGGUCUUCGGAUCGUAAAACUCUGUUAUUAGGGAAGAACAUAUGUGUAAGUAACUGUGCACAUCUUGACGGUACCUAAUCAGAAAGCCACGGCUAACUACGUG